UAGGCUUUUUAGGCCAUCCAAACGUGAACUUGCUGGUGUGUUUUGUAUCAUCGUACUGCUCCAUAACCUGGGUGCACUUGAGCUUCAGGGCACAAAGUGAUGGCUGAAUAUUCUCUUUCAGGAUUUUCUAGUAGAGAGGAGAAUUCAUGGCUCCAUUCAUUUGCUCAUUUUAUGCCAGAUGUAACAGGACUCUUCAAAAUGUUAAACUGUAACCCUUUCCCUCCCCGGCAGCGAUGUCUCAUUCGAAUGCUUGCCAUAUUAACUUUCGAUGGCACUUUAUGUGCCUACCAUGUUUGACCACAGGUAAAGGGGAAUAAGGGUUCGAUUCCGGAGAGAACCUGACAAACAACUACCACAUCCAAAGAAGACAGCACGCGCACAAAUGAUCCCCUCCUGACUCGGGGAGGUAGUGACGCAAAAUAACAAUACAGGACUCUUUCGAGGCCCUGUAAUAUGAAUGAGAAUGAAAUAAUCUUUUAAAAAUAUUUUCUAUUUACUCAGGUUA
rnacentral:ncRNA from 1 species